rnacentral:rRNA from 1 species
CCUACGGGAGGCUGCAGUGGGGAAUAUUGCACAAUGGGCGCAAGCCUGAUGCAGCCAUGCCGCGUGUGUGAAGAAGGCCUUCGGGUUGUAAAGCACUUUCAGCGGGGAGGAAGGCGGUGAGGUUAAUAACCUCAUCGAUUGACGUUACCCGCAGAAGAAGCACCGGCUAACUCCGUGCCAGCAGCCGCGGUAAUACGGAGGGCGCAAGCGUUAAUCGGAAUUACUGGGCGUAAAGCGCACGCAGGCGGUCUGUCAAAUCGGAUGUGAAAUCCCCGGGCUCAACCUGGGAACUGCAUUCGAAACUGGCAGGCUAGAGUCUUGUAGAGGGGGGUAGAAUUCCAGGUGUAGCGGUGAAAUGCGUAGAGAUCUGGAGGAAUACCGGUGGCGAAGGCGGCCCCCUGGACAAAGACUGACGCUCAGGUGCGAAAGCGUGGGGAGCAAACAGGAUUAGAUACCCCGGUAGUC